CACGUAGGAGGCGAGCGUUGUCCGGAAUCAUUGGGCGUAAAGAGCGCGCAGGCGGCUUGGCAAGUCGGGUGUGAAAUCCCGGGGCUCAACCCCGUGACUGCAUCCGAUACUGUCAGGCUAGAGGUAGGUAGGGGAGAUCGGAAUUCCUGGUGUAGCGGUGAAAUGCGCAGAUAUCAGGAAGAACACCCGUGGCGAAGGCGGCUCUCUGGUACGUGACUGACGCUGAGACGCGAAAGCGUGGGGAGCAAACAGG
rnacentral:rRNA from 1 species